GCUAGUAAUCGCGAAUCAGCAUGCCGCGGUGAAUACGUUCUCGGGCCUUGUACACACCGCCCGUCACACCAUGGGAGUCGGUAACACCCGAAGUCUGUAGCCUGACGCAAGAGGGCGCGGCCGAAGGUGGGAUUGAUGACUGGGGUGAAGUCGUAACAAGGUAAC
rnacentral:rRNA from 1 species